GAUGAACGCUAGCGACAGGCUUAACACAUGCAAGUCGAGGGGCAGCGGGGGUAGCGAUACCCGCCGGCGACCGGCGCACGGGUGAGUAACGCGUAUGCAACUUGCCUAUCAGAGGGGGAUAACCCGGCGAAAGUCGGACUAAUACCGCAUGAAGCAGGGGCCCCGCAUGGGGAUAUUUGCUAAAGAUUCAUCGCUGAUAGAUAGGCAUGCGUUCCAUUAGGCAGUUGGCGGGGUAACGGCCCACCAAACCGACGAUGGAUAGGGGUUCUGAGAGGAAGGUCCCCCACAUUGGUACUGAGACACGGACCAAACUCCUACGGGAGGCAGCAGUGAGGAAUAUUGGUCAAUGGCCGAGAGGCUGAACCAGCCAAGUCGCGUGAGGGAUGAAGGUUCUAUGGAUCGUAAACCUCUUUUAUAAGGGAAUAAAGUGCGGGACGUGUCCCGUUUUGUAUGUACCUUAUGAAUAAGGAUCGGCUAACUCCGUGCCAGCAGCCGCGGUAAUACGGAGGAUCCGAGCGUUAUCCGGAUUUAUUGGGUUUAAAGGGUGCGUAGGCGGCCUUUUAAGUCAGCGGUGAAAGUCUGUGGCUCAACCAUAGAAUUGCCGUUGAAACUGGGGGGCUUGAGUAUGUUUGAGGCAGGCGGAAUGCGUGGUGUAGCGGUGAAAUGCAUAGAUAUCACGCAGAACCCCGAUUGCGAAGGCAGCCUGCCAAGCCAUUACUGACGCUAAUGCACGAAAGCGUGGGGAUCAAACAGGAUUAGAUACCCUGGUAGUCCACGCAGUAAACGAUGAUCACUAGCUGUUUGCGAUACACUGUAAGCGGCACAGCGAAAGCGUUAAGUGAUCCACCUGGGGAGUACGCCGGCAACGGUGAAACUCAAAGGAAUUGACGGGGGCCCGCACAAGCGGAGGAACAUGUGGUUUAAUUCGAUGAUACGCGAGGAACCUUACCCGGGUUUGAACGCAUUCGGACCGAGGUGGAAACACCUUUUCUAGCAAUAGCCGUUUGCGAGGUGCUGCAUGAUUGUCGUCAGCUCGUGCCGUGAGGUGUCGGCUUAAGUGCCAUAACGAGCGCAACCCUUGCCACUAGUUACUAACAGGUAAAGCUGAGGACUCUGGUGGAACUGCCAGCGUAAGCUGCGAGGAAGGCGGGGAUGACGUCAAAUCAGCACGGCCCUUACAUCCGGGGCGACACACGUGUUACAAUGGCGUGGACAAAGGGAGGCCACCUGGCGACAGGGAGCGAAUCCCCAAACCACGUCUCAGUUCGGAUCGGAGUCUGCAACCCGACUCCGUGAAGCUGGAUUCGCUAGUAAUCGCGCAUCAGCCAUGGCGCGGUGAAUACGUUCCCGGGCCUUGUACACACCGCCCGUCAAGCCAUGGGAGCCGGGGGUACCUGAAGUCCGUAACCGAAAGGAUCGGCCUAGGGUAAAACUGGUG
rnacentral:rRNA from 1 species